rnacentral:rRNA from 1 species
UACGGAGGGGGCGAGCGUUAUUCGGAAUCAUUGGGCGUAAAGGGCGCGUAGGCGGCCCGAUAAGUCAAAGGUGAAAUCCCUCGGCUCAACUGAGGAACCGCCUUUGAAACUGUCGGGCUUGAGGCCGGGAGGGGGUAGCGGAAUUCCCAGUGUAGCGGUGAAAUGCGUAGAUAUUGGGAGGAACACCAGUGGCGAAGGCGGCUACCUGGACCGGAACUGACGCUGAUGCGCGAAAGCGUGGGGAGCAAACAGG